rnacentral:rRNA from 1 species
UGGGGAAUAUUGCACAAUGGGCGCAAGCCUGAUGCAGCCAUGCCGCGUGUGUGAAGAAGGCCUUCGGGUUGUAAAGCACUUUCAGCGGGGAGGAAGGCGAUAAGGUUAAUAACCUUGUCGAUUGACGUUACCCGCAGAAGAAGCACCGGCUAACUCCGUGCCAGCAGCCGCGGUAAUACGGAGGGUGCAAGCGCUAAUCGGAAUUACUGGGCGUAAAGCGCACGCAGGCGGUUGAUUGAGUCAGAUGUGAAAUCCCCGGGCUUAACCCGGGAAUUGCAUCUGAUACUGGUCAGCUAGAGUCUUGUAGAGGGGGGUAGAAUUCCAUGUGUAGCGGUGAAAUGCGUAGAGAUGUGGAGGAAUACCGGUGGCGAAGGCGGCCCCCUGGACAAAGACUGACGCUCAGGUGCGAAAGCGUGGGGAGCAAACAGG